CCUACGGGGGCUGCAGUGGGGAAUAUUGGACAAUGGGCGAAAGCCUGAUCCAGCCAUGCCGCGUGUGUGAAGAAGGCCUUCGGGUUGUAAAGCACUUUCAGUGGGGAAGAAAGCCUUGGGGCUAAUACCCCCGAGGAAGGACAUCACCCACAGAAGAAGCACCGGCUAACUCCGUGCCAGCAGCCGCGGUAAUACGGAGGGUGCGAGCGUUAAUCGGAAUUACUGGGCGUAAAGCGCGCGUAGGCGGUCUGAUAAGCCGGUUGUGAAAGCCCCGGGCUCAACCUGGGAACGGCAUCCGGAACUGUCAGGCUAGAGUGCAGGAGAGGAAGGUAGAAUUCCCGGUGUAGCGGUGAAAUGCGUAGAGAUCGGGAGGAAUACCAGUGGCGAAGGCGGCCUUCUGGACUGACACUGACGCUGAGGUGCGAAAGCGUGGGUAGCAAACAGGAUUAGAUACCCCAGUAGUC
rnacentral:rRNA from 1 species